UGGAAGCAUAUUUAGCCAUCUAUGUGGCUUUAUGAUCCACAGGCCUUCCUUCUAGUCCUGUACAAAUGUACCUUUCUAUAAUGGGUGCAAGCAGUAUUCACAAGAAAUCCACAACAGAGCAACCUUCCCUGACCCCGCUGGUCUUCCGCUGACGUACAGUACAGAAGCUGCGCUCUGUGCUUUGAAGUCCGGAAAGCAUCAGGAACUUCUUCUCUGUGGAGUAUGUGAGCAUUCAGCCCUGGUAGGCAUCGUGUCACAAAAGACAGUGUUGGUAAAGUACAGGGAAGCAAGCUGAUUGUUCAGUGUCUUAAGACUUAGGCUGUCUUCAAAAGGCCAAAUAAACCAGGGUUUUCUCUGGCUGCUUGGAGAAAGAAGAAACCCAAUUUUUGUUUUAGUAUCUUGAGCUCAUUAGUUGAUACACGUUGAUAGUACCCCUAUGCAUAGAUUCUUUGUGUAUUGAUUACUGUAUAUAGACAUCUAAGUGGUUAGUUCUUGAUCAAGAAGACAGGUUUGUGCCAUAAUUAGCACACCCUGACCUCACUCAUUUGCUUUCUUUUCCUUGGAACCCUGCCCAGUAACUUCUGUGGGAUCUCAUUCCCCAAUCUUUGGGACUCUGCUUCCACAGUUGGAAAGUAGAACUACUUGCUGUUAAAUAUCCCACAGCUAAAAGGUGCUAUGUAACGCUAUAGUGCUCUUAUGUACUUUUAUUUGCAGGACUAGAAUGAAAAGUUUAAACAUUACAGUAUUUCUGAGCAAACAAAUGUGCUCCAUUCUUCUCCUCCAUGCUUAGUGCACAAUGUUUCCUUGCAGAGCCUAGAGUACUUUGUUAAUGUUCUUCCAUUUGUUCCAACAAUGUCCUUGGGAAAAGAUAGAAUGGAAAUUAUUUUUCCAAAAAUUAAACAUAAAGGAGAUAAAGUGCCAUCCAAAAGCACAUAGAUACUAUUAGAGAGACUUUACUUUCUAGUGCCGGAAUAACCAUGGAGCAAAGAGAACAGAACCACAUUCCAAGUGUCCCUCUUUCUCCGACAUCUUGAAGUUUGCAAUUUAGACAACUCUUUAUUUUCUAAUGCAAUAUGUGCCUCUUGCCCUCACUGAAACUUUAAGACAUAUGUAUUUCGCACUACAUGGCAUCAGCCAUUGCCAUAGUCUCCUGUGGCACCUAGACAGCCCAAUCUCAGGGUUUGUUUUUCCAGGGAAAAAUAAAUGUGCUUCCUCAUGUUCCUGCCAAAUUGCACAAAGUAUAGGCAUUUGUGUUAAUGGGGCUUAAGCACAGUCGUAGAAGGCGUUUUAAGAAUACUGUGUAGUAUACAUUAUUGCAAUAUACACCUGAGAUUUAACAAGGCCCCAAAUGACAGGAAUGUAAUAAUCAUUCAUAGUCUAUCUCUUUCAACUCUCAUCCUUGAUAUCUAGCUACAUGUGUGCACAUGGACAUGAAUGCACACCCUUUCUUUAAAGGCAGAUUGCUAGGUCAUUAGAACAAAUGUUUCACAGGGAUGAUUCUGUUCUUUAAUGAAGUCCAAAAUCAAAAGAAGUGAAGAACAUUUCAUUUAUCUAUUCUGAAAUGUCUGCUGUCAGAGUGUCAGUUUGGCUGAAAGACAUGUUCUGUGCAGAGGCACAGAGGACAUCUAACAAGAUCAUCAGACCCUAAUGCAAGUUCCAUGUUCACAGAAAAUUCAUGCACUCUGUGCAAACAGGAUGAAAUGGCUGACAGUGUGUGCUACAUUUGCAUUUAUUUAACCAUACCUAUAAAAUACCAUAUUAUACUGUAGCCUUUGCAUGUAAGUAUUAUGUAAUAAAGCAAGAAAUGGGUGGCUUUUAACUAGCAUGCAACCCUUAACUUGUUUAUUACCCCCAAAAGGGCUAAGGCUUGUCCAGCACAGUAUGUAAAAUCAUUAAAUGUGUUCUUUGGAGAAACCUGGUUAAUAUCCAUCAGCAGAAUGAGUUAGAACACAAUCUGUCUAUUAUGAUGUUUGGGUUUGGUAGGGAAUGGUUAAAAAGAAAAGAACAAUAAAAUAAAAUGCAUUCAAAGAGUAAUUGCUUUCAGCCUGCUGUCUAAAUCAGCAAAGGAACACAGCGGGAAAGAGAGGUCUGGGUCUAGGUAAUAUAUGGAAUGUAUUGGAGAGCUAGAAAAGGAAAGACACUGGGGGACUUCAACAGUUAAGCUCAAGUUGCCAAUUUGCUAUAAAUCCCUUUUGCCAUCAGUCUGCUUACAGUGAUAAAUAUAGUGUUCUUAAAACGAUGUGCAGAAAUACUGAAAAAAAAAUGCCGGUCAGCUUUCUAUCUUCCUAUGUUCUUUAUUAAAAC
rnacentral:lncRNA from 1 species